CAGUAGCCACGGUAAUACGGAGGGAGCUAGCGUUGUUCGGAAUUACUGGGCGUAAAGCGCACGUAGGCGGAUCGAUCAGUCAGGGGUGAAAUCCCAGGGCUCAACCCUGGAACUGCCUUUGAUACUGUCGAUCUGGAGUAUGGAAGAGGUGAGUGGAAUUCCGAGUGUAGAAGUGAAAUUCGUAGAUAUUCGGAGGAACACCAGUGGCGAAGGCGGCUCACUGGUCCAUUACUGACGCUGAGGUGCGAAAGCGUGGGGAGCAAACAGGAUUAGAUACCCGCGUAGUCCCUGUCUCUUAUAC
rnacentral:rRNA from 1 species